ensembl:lncRNA
GACAAGUCAACUGCUCUGGAUUUGCCAAGGUGAGUUGCGAUGUCAUCACUUAAGAUUCAAGAGCUCUCAGCAAACAGUCUAGAACAGAUUAAAAGAAAUUUCCUGAAAUCCCUGUCUUGGAAACCUGAGUGGCAAGAUACACCACUUGCAUCAAAUGUGUUCACCAUGAGCACAGAAUUCCAGGGGACCCACAAUGCGUGGAAGUCAAUGAUCCUCAAAAGGAGUGCAAGGUAAGCGCCUUAAGUUUAUAAUGGAGUUAAACAAGGGUGCUGACAGCCCCAAGAAGUAACACUUCCCAUUAGAACCAGAACUUGCUUUGAACUCGGGAAGAAGACACUUCCAUCUAAGAAACACUGACAAGCAAAGAACCUUCUUAUAGCCAUUCUUAUUGCUGUUACUCCUCUGUGUCAGCCAACAACUUAUGUUGAAAAUGAUGACAUAAUAGGAAUGGUAGAGAUCCUUCAUCUUUUCUUACUUGUCAGUAAACCAGAUGUAGAGUGUGUGUAGCAAAAAGUGAAAUUUAAACAUUUGAGUUAAUUUUGUAAAGCGUUUUUACUGCUCCGGUAUCAACAAAGUGUACAUAGAUGUACAAACUGCAAAGUGCAAAUUGUAUAAAAUUGGUGAUUUCUCCUACUAGUUAGAUGCUCUUACAUUUGCAUUGAAAAUUGGUAUUGUGCAACAUAAAGAUGAAUGGUGAUAUCCAUGUUCAUAACAAACUUUUACGUGUUCUCAUUGUGGCUCAGCAAGUUAAGACCUGACAUAGUGUCUGUGAUGAUUCAGGUUCAAUCUCUGGCCUCACUCAGUGGGUUGAAGGUCUGACUUUGCCGCAAGCUGUGGUAUAGGUUGCAGAUGUGGCUUGAAUCCACUGUUGCUGUGGUUAUGCUGUAGGCUGGCAGCUGCAGCUCUGAGUCAACCCCUAGCCUGGGAACUUCUAUAUGCCACAGG